CAACUUGAUUGCUUGGUAGCGUAGCUAACGCGUGAAAUUGACCGCCUGGGGAGUACGGUCGCAAGAUUAAAACUCAAAGGAAUUGACGGGGACCCGCACAAGCGGUGGAUGAUGUGGAUUAAUUCGAUGCAACGCGAAGAACCUUACCUGGUUUUGACAUGUGCGGAAUCCUCCGGAGACGGAGGAGUGCCUUCGGGAGCCGUAACACAGGUGCUGCAUGGCUGUCGUCAGCUCGUGUCGUGAGAUGUUGGGUUAAGUCCCGCAACGAGCGCAACCCUUGUCAUUAGUUGCCAUCAUUCGGUUGGGCACUCUAAUGAGACUGCCGGUGACAAGCCGGAGGAAGGUGGGGAUGACGUCAAGUCCUCAUGGCCCUUAUGACCAGGGCUUCACACGUCAUACAAUGGUCGGUACAGAGGGUAGCCAAGCCGCGAGGCGGAGCCAAUCUCACAAAACCGAUCGUAGUCCGGAUUGCACUCUGCAACUCGAGUGCAUGAAGUCGGAAUCGCUAGUAAUCGCAGGUCAGCAUACUGCGGUGAAUACGUUCCCGGGUCUUGUACACACCGCCCG
rnacentral:rRNA from 1 species